rnacentral:piRNA from 1 species
AUCUUGACUAAAGGUGACCCCAUGG